GCAGUGUAGUGGCUAGGGUGUUCGACUCCCAAUUGAAAGGUUCUGGGUUCGAUCCCCAAUGUCUGCA